AUAAUAUGUUCUCCGCGCAUGAUACAUUCGUAUCGCGAUAACGAGCCAAAACGCAGUGUUACCGUGUUUUCGUGUCUAAUUUGAAUUGACUCGGGUACUCGAAAUAAUAAUACCGUUUGAAAUUGAACCGUUAAUCUCUCGACCAUAGGCACCGCGUGUAUGCGCAAUAUUAUGCAUUAUUCAACAUAAAGAUUAGGCGAAACACCGCAGUUGUUUAUUAUAACGAAGUAUUCAACACAUCAACAGCCGAAUUAACAAUAUUCGGUUUUUAUUCCGCAAACGCGUACAACAUUAACGCAAUAAUUGUAUUCAGCGGCACGAAAACGUACCCUAUGUGUAGGGCUGCGC